rnacentral:rRNA from 1 species
AUGCGGUCGGAAUUGGGAGUUUCAGUGGCGAUCCCACUAGGUUCGAUGGUCUCCCAGAGCGCCUUGGUUUCCUGGUUACUGGGCUGGUUCGCCGGGGCAUCGGAAGACGAGCGGGAGGUGCUGGUAGAGGUGGCAUAUGGCCUCUGGCUUGCACGUAAUGAUGCGUGGUAUGGGAAGAAGAUCAUGCCCCCACAUGAAAUCAUGGCUUCUGUGAGAGUGCAUGUCGGCGAAUGGAAGCUACUGCAUGCAGCGAGGGCGCGACAACCAGUGCCCAUGAUCAUCCAAAGAUGGGAACCCCCUAACAAGGGAUGGACCAAGGUCUGA